GAAAUGCGAUAAGUAAUGUGAAUUGCAGAAUUCCGUGAAUCAUCGAAUCUUUGAACGCACAUUGCGCCCUCUGGUAUUCCGGGGGGCAUGCCUGUCCGAGCGUCAUUGCGAACCCCUCAAGCACGGCUUGUGUGAUGGGCCCUCCCGCGUCUUGGUCGUCAAGACGGGCCCGAAAAGCAGUGGCGGCUUCGCGGUUAUCCGAUCAGCCAGAGCGUAUGGGGACUUUCUCUCUGUCACACGCCCGCGGCGCGGACCGACGCCUGUCGGCCUUUAUUCAUCUUUUUCUCGGUUGACCUCGGAUCAGGUAGAGAUACCCGCUGAACUUAAGC
rnacentral:misc_RNA from 1 species